ensembl:snRNA U6 U6 spliceosomal RNA
GCUCCCUGCAGCAGAACAUAUACUAAAAUUGGAACUAUACAGAGAUUAGCAUGGCCAUAGAGCAUGGAUGACAUGCAAAUUCAUGAAGCAUUCCAUAUUUUU